AUGAUGGAAGGAUCAGCGAAUGACAUCACGAACUUUAAGUUCCUCCUGCUCUGCUUUCAGCAGAUGUCUGACCUCAGGAUCAACUUUGAUAAGAGUACGGUCAUGGUCUUGGGAUACCCCCAAGACGAGCGACAGAGCAUCGCGGACUGCCUCAACUGCCAGCUCGGGAGCUUCCCUUCGACUUAUUUGGGGAUCCCCAUUAGCGACACGAGGCUCAUGGUGGCCGAGCUGCGCCCCACGAUGGGGUAGCUUCAGCACCGCAUUGAACCUUGGCAGAGCCUAUGGCUCUCUAAGGCUGCCCGGACUGUGCUCAUUAACUCGUCCCUUUCCAGCCUGCUCCUAUUCAUUAUGAACUUAUACAGCCUGCCUGAGACUCUGCAGCAUGAGAUUGCCACAGUUCAGGGGCGCUUCUUCUCGGCUGGCAAGGGUGAUAAGCAGAACUUCGGUGGUCGGAGAUCUGUAAACCUCGCGAUCAGGGCGGACUCGGGAUCAUGUCCUCCAAACGCAUGA
rnacentral:rRNA from 1 species